rnacentral:rRNA from 1 species
GACGAACGCUGGCGGCGUGCUUAACACAUGCAAGUCGAACGGAAAGGCCCUGCUUUUGUGGGGUGCUCGAGUGGCGAACGGGUGAGUAACACGUGAGUAACCUGCCCUUGACUUUGGGAUAACUUCAGGAAACUGGGGCUAAUACCGGAUAGGAGAUCCUGCUGCAUGGUGGGGGUUGGAAAGUUUCGGCGGUUGGGGAUGGACUCGCGGCUUAUCAGCUUGUUGGUGGGGUAGUGGCUUACCAAGGCUUUGAAGGGUGGCCGGCCUGAGAGGGUGACCGGCCACAAUGGGACUGAGAGACGGCCCAGACUCCUACGGGAGGCAGCAGUGGGGAAUAUUGCACAAUGGGCGGAAGCCUGAUGCAGCAGCGCCGCGUGCGGGAUGACGGCCUUCGGGUUGUAAACCGCUUUCGCCUGUGACGAAGCGUGAGUGACGGUAAUGGGUAAAGAAGCACCGGCUAACUACGUG